GACGAACGCUGGCGGCGUGCCUAAUACAUGCAAGUAGGACGCAGUUGCGAACGGGUGAGUAACGCGUAGGUAACUACCUAUUAGAGGGGGAUAACUAUUGGAAACGAUAGCUAAUACCGCAUACUAGUAGAUGGACCUGCGUUGUAUUAGCUAGUAGGUUGGGUAAUGGCCUAACUAGGCAACGAUACAUAGCCGGGCUGAGGGGGUGAUCUGCACACAGUGGACUGGUACAAGGCCCAGACUCCCACGGGAGGGAACAGUAGGGGAUCUUCGGCAAUGGGGGGAAACCUGGACGAGCAACGCCUCGGGAGUGAAGAAGGUUUUCGGAGCGUAAAGCUCUGUUGUUAAGGAAGCGGUACUUAACCAGAAAGGGACGGCUAACUACGUGCCAGCAGCCGCGGUAAUAC
rnacentral:rRNA from 1 species